rnacentral:tmRNA from 1 species
GGGGCUGAUCUGGUUUUGACAGCGAGUUUAACAGGUAUGUAAGCAUGUCGGGCGACGCAUUUGAUCCCGUAAUAAUAGUAGUGCAACAUUUUUAAUUGGCGAAAAUAAUUUUGCUCUUGCUGCUUAAUCGAAUCAUAGUAGAUUAAAGCUUAAUUCCGACGGUAGCCGUCGGAACAAGACAUUCCGCUGUCAGGUUUUACCCGAUCCCUGUCAGCAAUGGAGUGCUAGCAAUUUUGGGUUAGUUCCGAUGUGGCUUCGCCUUCGGGAUGAAAUUUAGAAGCUAAGUUUUGGUUCGGGUGUUUGUUCCCAGGCCAUUAUCGAAAACCAACAACAAAAUAAGCAUGUAGAAAGCAUAUGGGUUGCUUGUUUGGACC